rnacentral:rRNA from 1 species
GACGAACGCUGGCGGCGUGCCUAACACAUGCAAGUCGAGCGGGAUGCAGCAAUGCAUUCAGCGGCGGACGGGUGAGUAACACGUGAGGAACCUGCCCUUCAGUGGGGAACAACACCGGGAAACCGGUGCUAAUACCGCAUGACGUCCCGGGACGACAUCGUUCUGGGACCAAAGGAGAAAUCCGCUGAAGGAUGGCCUCGCGUCCGAUUAGCUAGUUGGCGGGUAACGCCCACCAAGGCUUCGAUCGGUAGCCGAACUGAGAGGUUGAUCGGCCACAUUGGGACUGAGACACGGCCCAGACUCCUACGGGAGGCAG